AUGUUGCAGUCCGCACUGGCUGAUCAGACUGUACUGUUGCAAAGUUGUGUGGUGCGGGUUGAGAGCUUUCUAGAGCGAGCGGAGGUUGCUCUGGGUAGACUAUCCCUUGUGUCGGCUCUGUUGCAGACCACUCUGACAUCACAUUCUCCUUGUGCGUCCGGUGUUUGCUCCGCAGAAGACAGGGGUGAGGAGUUGUAUGGCUCUUUCUCCCCUCGUGUUGGAGUCCAUUCAUCAUCGGUGCCUACCUCCCCUCCUAUGGAGUCUUCCACUAAGGGCUUGUCCAUCGCCGUGCUUGUGACUCCGGUGCUGCAGAUCAUGCCAGAGCUUAGGGAGCUAUGCCUGAGUCUAUCAGAGGAGCAUACGAAGGUGGACAUGUCGACGGCCUCGAUUGAAGGACAAGUUUCGCCUCUGUCAAGUGAGCAGUUGGAGGUUUCUUUGGUUGAUGAUGCUAAAGGGAAGGCAGCUGCAAUUUCAUGA
rnacentral:rRNA from 1 species